CUCCCGACCAGAACAGAGACCUGCUUGGCCAGAAAAAAAAAAAACAAAUGACCUUGCUCUUUUCUUUUGAAAUGUUACCUAGCUGAGAUGUGCAUUUCGUUGUCAUUUGUUUGUUUUAAAUAUAUAGUAUAACCAUUCCAAUGUACUGCUUCAUGCAGGGCUGCAUAAGAUCACACUAGACGGGCUGUAACCAAAACAGAAUCAUAGCAUCAAUGAGGGCCACCGUGAGAGCACAGCCUAAGUGGAGUCGUGGUCUUAAGGUGGAGAGGGUAGCCUGGUGGCUAAGGGCUCCAACCUGGGAGUCCAUGAGCCUGGGUUUGAAUCCUGGCCCUGUGGCUUAUUGGCUGUGACCUUGGCCUCUCCAACCUUCUGACCCCCUAUUAUAAGAUGAGAUGGGGGAGGGGCAGUAGAGGGCAAAGGAGUAAAAGGUACAAACUCUUAGCAAAUAAGUAGAAAAUAAGCUACAAGGAUAUAUUGUAUAACACAUGGAUAUACCAGUACUUCAUAAUAACUAUAAAUGAUGUAUAACUUUUAAAGAUUGUGAAUUCACUAUUUGUAUACCUGUAAGUUACAUAGUAUUGCACAGCAACUAUACUUCAGUUUAAAAAAUUUUUAGGAGUUCCCAUUGUGGCUCAGCAGGUUAAGACCCCGACUAGUAUCCAUGAGUAUGCAGGUUCCAUCCCUGGCCUCGCUCAGUCGGUUAAUGAUCCAGGGCUGCCGUGAGCUGCGGUAUAGAUUGCACGCAAAGCUCAUUGUCAUGGCUGUGGCAUAGGCUGACAUAAGCAUCUCCUAUUCGACCCCUAGCCUGGGAACUUCCAUUUGCCACAGGUGCGCCCCCCCACCCCAAAAAAGAAAAAUUUUGGAGUUCCCGUCGUGGCUCAGUGGUUAACGAAUCCGACUAGGAACCAUGGAGUUGCGGGUUCGAUCCCUGGCCUUGCUCAGUGGGUUGGGGAUUCAGCGCUGCCGUGAGCUGUGGUGUAGGUCAAAGACGCAGCUCGGAUCCUGCGUUGUUGUGGCUCUGGUGUAGACCAGCGGCUGCAGCUCCGAUUCGACCCCUAGCCUGGGAACAUCCAUAUGCCUCGAGAGCAGCCCAAGAAAAUGGCAAAAAGACAAAAAAUAAAUAAAUAAAUAAAAAUAAAAAUAAAAAAAAUAGAUGGUACCAACCAUAAUCUGGUCUGAGAAGUGAGUGUGCCUAACAGGAAGUAAGCCCUUACUACUUGUAAGCUGCUGGCAUAAUGAUUGUCAUCAACUCUCCCAUAGCAACAGCCUGUUUUGGGGUGAUGCCCUCCAUGCAGCUGAAUGUCGAUUUCCUUCCUCUUUUCUCUCCGAUACCACUGCAUAGGGGCAUAUAAGUUCUUAGGAGCUGUGACCUUGAAGCCAGACCUUGUGGCCACUGUCAUUUCCCUCCCAUGGGCCUAAUGCAGAAUCAGGUCCAGUUUCAUCCAUCUCUGCUAGGACUGCGCAGCUGUGAGAUCCACCAUUCAGAUGGAUUGGAGGAGUCUUAAAGUGUGAGCACUCUGGGGUAGUGUUAUCUGGGGCCAAGCACUGGCCUUUGCAGGGUGGAGAGGCCAGCAGAGCCAGCUGUGCCCCUCCCACAUCCCUUGCCAGCCCACACUUUGAACCUGGAUUAGCCGAGGCACCCCAACAGAGACCCCAGGGCCUCCAAGAGCUGGCUCUUCGGGCCUGGACUGCCUGAGUUUUCUCUUCCACUAGCAACUUGGGUUUAUUCCAAAACCAAACAACAAAAGCAGACCCCCCAGUGUUUUCCUGGCUCACUUCUAUAAAGCAUCACAACCGUGAACCAAAGGAAACAAAGAUCUGAGCCUUGUGAUAGACAGAAAAUUAGAUGAAAAUUAUUCUCCACACUCCCUUCCCAGGUCCCAGGAAUGACCAAAAUAGUGAACCUCUUAGUAGCUAAAAAUCAUGGAGUUGUACUUAAGUGCCCACCUGCUACUUUCCAUACAUUAUUUAAUCCCCUUAACAACCCUGUCAGAGAAGUGCUAUUACUGUUGUUGUUCUUCCACAGGUAAGGAGACUAGAGCAUAGAGUUCAGUAACUUUGCUGGAGGUCACCCAGCUAGUAAAGGCCAAAUCAGUCUUAGAACCCAGUCUGGGAUUAGACGCUGCACGUGUUCACCACAGCCCUGUACUGCCUCCAUGAUCGUUAUAAAUUGUAGUUAUAGUUACAAAAAAUAAACUACAUGUACAUGUGAUUUUAAAAAGCGGAGAGCUAUAAUACACAAUUUUCUCAGGUCAGUUUCCCAGUUUUGCCCUUGUACCGUAGUUAUGUAAGGCAUAACCACCUAGGAGAAUUAGGUGAAAGGCACAGUACACAGGCGCUUUCUAUAUGAUUUUGGUAGCUUCCCAUUGCAUCUCUAAUUAUUUCAGAAUAAAAGGUUCCCACAAACAAACUAUGGCCAGCGCUGUACUGAAUUUGGAUUGUACAUCAAGCACUGCGCUAAUAAGCACUUUACACAUUAUUUUAUUGAAUCCUCCCAGCAGCUCAGGGAAGUAUGGGUGCUUUGUUGUAUAAAGUCAAUAGAACGUGAUGAGUUCCCUUGUGGCACAGUAGGUUAAGGAUCUGGUGUUGUCACUCCAGCGGCUUGGUUCACUGUUGUGGCGCAGGUUCAACCCCUGGCCCAGAAACUUCUUCAUGCCAUGAGUGCGGCAAAAAAGAAAGAAAAAAAGAAGGAAAGUGGUGAGGCCACUGGAUCUUUCUGAUUCCAGGACAUGAACUCAUCAUGCUUCUUUGGAUGUAUGAAUAUUUAAAAAUGCGCGGACGUAGGGGCCAGCUCUGUGUCAAGCUCAGCCGUAGCGAGGGUCAAGUUCCCCAGGUGACAGCAGCCCUGGGACCUUGUUUAGUCUGUGACACAGACCUGAGAAGGAAUCCACCCAGUCAGUCACUUGCCAUCAUCUGGAUCUGUUCUCUUUCCCCGCCCCUCCGCCUAUGGGUCCCUGAAGGACGGGCUUUCCAUACAAGCUCAGCAGCCCUAGGGGUAUGUUUCUCCGGCUGAAUCGCAAGUGUUCCUCACAUCUCAGUGGAAGCGCAGACUUUGGGUUCAGACCUGGGUUCAAAGCCUAGCUGGGCUUCUCACGAGCUUUUAUACUUUGAGAAAGU
rnacentral:lncRNA from 1 species